rnacentral:rRNA from 1 species
GACGAACCGUCCAAACGUUAUUCGGAAUCACUGGGCUUAAAGGGUGCGUAGGCGGCGCUGAAAGUUGGGUGUGAAAUCCCUCGGCUCAACCGAGGAACUGCGCCCAAAACUACAGUGCUUGAGGGAGAUAGAGGUGAGCGGAACUUAGGGUGGAGCGGUGAAAUGCGUUGAUAUCCUAAGGAACGCCAGGGGCGAAAGCGGCUCACUGGGUCUCUUCUGACGCUGAGGCACGAAAGCUAGGGUAGCGAACGGG